rnacentral:rRNA from 1 species
UACAGAGGGUGCGAGCGUUAAUCGGAAUUACUGGGCGUAAAGCGUGCGCAGGCGGCUUUGCAAGACAGAUGUGAAAUCCCCGGGCUUAACCUGGGAACUGCAUUUGUGACUGCAUGGCUGGAGUGCGGCAGAGGGGGAUGGAAUUCCGCGUGUAGCAGUGAAAUGCGUAGAUAUGCGGAGGAACACCGAUGGCGAAGGCAAUCCC